rnacentral:rRNA from 1 species
AUUGAACGCUGGCGGCAGGCCUAACACAUGCAAGUCGAGCGGAUGAAGGGAGCUUGCUCCUGGAUUCAGCGGCGGACGGGUGAGUAAUGCCUAGGAAUCUGCCUGGUAGUGGGGGAUAACGUCCGGAAACGGGCGCUAAUACCGCAUACGUCCUGAGGGAGAAAGUGGGGGAUCUUCGGACCUCACGCUAUCAGAUGAGCCUAGGUCGGAUUAGCUAGUUGGUGGGGUAAAGGCCUACCAAGGCGACGAUCCGUAACUGGUCUGAGAGGAUGAUCAGUCACACUGGAACUGAGACACGGUCCAGACUCCUACGGGAGGCAGCAGUGGGGAAUAUUGGACAAUGGGCGAAAGCCUGAUCCAGCCAUGCCGCGUGUGUGAAGAAGGUCUUCGGAUUGUAAAGCACUUUAAGUUGGGAGGAAGGGCAGUAAGUUAAUACCUUGCUGCUUUGACGUUACCAACAGAAUAAGCACCGGCUAACUUCGCG